GACGAACGCUGGCGGCAGGCCUAACACAUGCAAGUCGAACGAAGUCUUCGGACUUAGUGGCGGACGGGUGAGUAACACGUGGGAACGUGCCUUUAGGUUCGGAAUAACUCAGGGAAACUUGUGCUAAUACCGAAUGUGCCCUUCGGGGGAAAGAUUUAUCGCCUUUAGAGCGGCCCGCGUCUGAUUAGCUAGUUGGUGAGGUAAAGGCUCACCAAGGCUACGAUCAGUAGCUGGUCUGAGAGGAUGACCAGCCACAUUGGGACUGAGACACGGCCCAAACUCCUACGGGAGGCAGCAGUGGGGAAUCUUGCGCAAUGGGCGAAAGCCUGACGCAGCCAUGCCGCGUGGAUGAUGAAGGUCUUAGGAUUGUAAAAUCCUUUCACCGGUGAAGAUAAUGACUGUAGCCGGAGAAGAAGCCCCGGCUAACUUCGUGCCAGCCGCCGCCGUAA
rnacentral:rRNA from 1 species